UUUUUUGAGGAAUGCAACUUUCUGAAAUUCCAGAUUGUGUCAAGUGGAGUACAUUUUUCAGCAGAUUCAUAAUGUCACAAAAGGGAUUUGCUCUGUGUCCAAGAUGAUAUUUGAGAUUGAGGCUUCAAAUGAGUUAAGCAUUGUGAUUAGGAGAGGGAGGGUGAAAAGCUUUUAAUGACUCUAUUUAGGAGUUAUCGUGGGUGGUUUUGAGGGCAGCAGGGUGAGAAACAGUGUCUACAGCACACAAGCUCAUCCAUUGCAGUCAGAGAAAUGCUAUGUAACUUUCUCUCUCUAACCCAGGUGCCACUCACAAUAACACGCUUGGACUCAGUGUGAAGCCAGAGACUCAAGGACCUAGGCGCACUCAGGAGAGGACAAGUAGCCGACUUGCUGGGAGUUGGCCCAUAUAACACAAAGCUCAUAUGUUGUUUUUGGUUUACUUUAUUGCAGCUGACUGAGAGGUUAACAGGCAAUUGUGGCAGAGGUGCUCUGAGGCAUACUCAUUUCAGGUCCAGCAUGGACUCACAUCACCGGUCAUCCAAAAGAUAAGUUGGGGGCCACCGCCUGGAGAUGGGAUGAUAGGAGAGUAGUGGGUUGGAAAUUCCUGGGACAGAUUUAAAAAUUAGCAGGGGGAAAAGCAAUGCCCUCUCAAGACACCCAAAAGGAGAGGCUCUACCUUUGCUAACAGCUGUAGGGUGCGCAGUGCAGAACAGUUCCAGUCUGUGUUGUGUUGUCCGGUGUAUACUGUGUUACCUAGUGUGUCUUUGGGGUCCCUCGGAUCAGAUAUCUCUGCCUCUUUCCCCUCGAGGCCCUUACCACAAGCAUCAGCCGUAGGUUCUUGAACGCUCGCACUUCUCUGCAUGAUGCCGAUAUCAUUUGUUCUUUUACUGGCGGGCUCGGCCGUGUUUCCGAGUCACAUCGCAGAAGCGUCGAGUAGGACAUGUUCUGAGGCCUUGCUCCCAGCCAUAUCACCAUCCAUCUUUUCUAGCCAUGGGCUGUAAUGUCCUGGAGUUCAUAAGAUUGUAUGUGUUUGCGUGUCUCAUGUCUUUCACUGUAGGCCUUUGAGGAAUCGUUCAGAAAACUGGCAUCAUUCUUAGCAUCUGUGAUGUCUUCUUGAAUAUGCGCAUAGGUAGAGGAUGCUGACCACAGGAUUUACAGGCAUCCAUCUUUGCAGUUCUUGGAAGAAAUAAAUCCGUUAGCAUCUUCUUCCUCCAGGGUUCUCUGAGCCUCAGUGGCUCACCAUCGGUCUCACCUCAGUCAUUUCAUUUUGCAUUCUCUCGGUCCUUGCAGUCAUUCCUCUUGCCCUGAGAUUUCUGUUCCUGUUGUGUCCCCAUUGUUUGUCCUGUCCUGUGUCACGGGUGUCUGCACAUAUUUGUGUUGGAGCUGCUCUGCCCUGCUGCAUAGUCUGGUGUGAUAGGACAAAUCCUGGGGGCUUGAAAUUUGUAGUGUGGGGUGUAGUUGGUCUCUACCUGGUAUUCCUAGGUUGACCCAAGAUGUCUGGAGCUGUGAAGUUGUCCUGCAGCCCUUUGACUUUUGUCCUGACUUUCUUUCAGAUGCAGAUGGAUAAAAUCCAUAGCAGAGCACCCCAUCCCAGGUUGCUUCUGAGUAGCCCUCAGGAAUGACCAAGGAGUUGUGGUGAGUCGGGGAGGUAUCGAGGAGGAGCCGGGGUCCGCUCAGUUCUCAGCUGUGCUACAUCACCUCGUCUCCUCUGAGACGACAGCGUCAGUCUCGGAGUUCGGCCGAAGCGUGCGGCCCGAGGACCCAGUCACUCUUAGGAGGCGGAGACGACAGCCCGGUGACAGCAGGAACCUCCCAGACAGCCUGGUGGCCUUCCUUUGCACCUGAUGUGGAUUCUCAUUCCUGGACAUGCAAGAGAUAAGUUGAGGGCUAUGACUCACAGAGGGGAUGGAAGGGGGCUGCUGCAUCAGGACUCCCUGGGAGGGAUUUUUGAGUCAGGCUUGGAGAUGAGGCUAUCCAGGAAAAGUCAUCUUACGGCCACACAAAAGCAAAGUGUCACUUUUGAUCCCAGUGCUGUGAUCAGGAGGGCAGAGCAGUCCCGGUGUGUAUUGUGUCACUUGUCUAUUGUGCAUUAUGUGUUGUUUGUAUGUCUCAUGUCUUUUUUCUUAGCCCUUUGAGUGGCCUGUCAGAAACCCUGGCAUCAUUCUUGGCAUCUGUGAUCUCUGCAUUUCUUGGCCUGGCACCAAUGCCAUAGGACUUUUGUCUCAGGCUCUCUGAUAGGCAUGAGAAGCGCAUCUCUCUUUAGAAGCUUCCGGUCAGAUGUCUUUGAAGGUCUUGUUCUGAGCUGAAGGGACAGCUGCAGCCUGCAAGG